rnacentral:rRNA from 1 species
UACAGAGGUCUCAAGCGUUGUUCGGAUUCAUUGGGCGUAAAGAGCGUGUAGGCGGCUUGGAAGGUCAGCUGUGAAAACUCGAGGCUCAACCUCGAGACGUCGGUUGAAACCACCUGGCUAGAGUCCGGAAGAGGAGAGUGGAAUUCCCGGUGUAGCGGUGAAAUGCGCAGAUAUCGGGAAGAACACCCGUGGCGAAGGCGGCUCUCUGGGACGGUACUGACGCUGAGACGCGAAAGCGUGGGGAGCGAACAGG